UCCAAGACGAACUAGUUUUUUAGGAAUGUAGUGGGCUAUUGUUCUGUUGCUUGCUUGCUAUUUCAUUAGUCUAUGUUUUCAUUUUACUAUUUCCUUCUUUAAAAAAUUAUUUUGUUGUACUUUAUGCUUUAGAGACAGCUAACUAGAAUGUUAAUUUUUAUUUAUCUUUAUUUUAAAAACAUACUUUAUUUUUACGUAUAGCAAUAUAGUUACAUAUAAAAUAAUACGAAAAUAGAAUGUUCGGUUAUAGACUUAAACAGAAAUUCUUAAAGAGGAAAUGAAAUGUUAAUUUUAGUUGUUCUUUCUGACAUGCAUAGUUAAGAUGAGAUUCAUUUCCAGCUAAGAGAUAUUGCAAAUUAUAGUCAAGUUUUGAUAUACUGCAAUUUCAAUAUUUUCUCUUAUGUUUUCUUUGUUGACCCAAAUGGUAUUUAGAAAUAUAUUUAAAAGUUUUAUAACUAUGAAGCAUGGUUAAAUAUCACUUUGUUAUUUAUUCCUAGCAUACGUAUACUGUGCCGAGAGGAUGCUCUCUGUACCUCAGUUGAGGAGUCCUUGAGCUCUGAAUGGAGGGACCUGAUGGCGACCUCCGGUUUGUCUCUCCACAAUGUCUGGCUGUGUGUCUCUGCAUCUCAUUGGCUGCCAGAAGAAGUCUCUCUGAUAAUGAAUGGAUACGGCACUGAUUUAUGAGUAUAGCAGAAUUAUCAUGAGGAUUCAAUUGAAAAUUUUUUGGACCA